CAUCCCAGUUCGGAUUGCAGGCUGCAACCCGCCUGUAUGAAGUUGGAAUCGCUAGUAAUCGCGGAUCAGCAUGCCGCGGUGAAUACGUUCCCGGGCCUUGUACACACCGCCCGUCACACCAUGAGAGUCGGGAACACCCGAAGUCCGUAGCCUAACCGCAAGGGGGGCGCGGCCGAAGGUGGGUUCGAUAAUUGGGGUGAAGUCGUAACAAGGUAUC
rnacentral:rRNA from 1 species